GUGCUUAUAGAUUUGGGAUAGUCGAUUGUUUUAAAGAUUUCUAAGAUUAGAUAUCAAAAGUUCGUUUAAAUUGAAUUGUUGUAUCAUGACUGUCAUGCAGAAAACUUGUCAUUUCCAAUAGGUUAUUAUAUAGCCUACCUUAAUUAUUUGGACAAAUUUCUUUUUACAAAAACAGUACCUUUAAACAUUUAUUGUAUUUUUAGGAAAGCAACUUCUGCGAGUAUUGAAUUUUUUACAAUUCUGCAGUCUCAACACUUUUUAGACAAAAUUCAUUGUAGGUUUCUCUUUCUGAAUGAGUUGUUCAGCUACGAUACUUCGUCGGUCUGUGAUAUUUUCAUGUCGUAGUCCUGUGACCACUGACUCUUUCAUUUGAUGCCACAAUGAAUUAUCCACAUGCUGCAGCAAGGAAAAAAACAACAAUUGGGACCAAAUAUAUUACUCAAGCUCAAGUGUUGGCGGUGUGCAACAAGAGUUUGUUUUCCAAGGUAUUUGCAGGUUUUUGACUUGGAUAUUGACUUGUGAUGAGUCUGGAAUUUUUUUAUUUUUUUUUGAACAAAUGAGCAAUAAAAAUUGAAAAUUUAGAGCUUG